rnacentral:rRNA from 1 species
GUCAACCUACCCUAUGGACGGGAAUAACCUCGGGAAACUGAGAAUAAUACCCGAUAUACCAUCAUGCCUGGAACGGUUGGUGGUUAAAAUGAUUCGUCGCCCUAGGAUGGGACUGCGACCUAUCAACUUGUUGGUGGGGUAAAGGCCCACCAAGGCGAUUACAGGUACGGGCUCUGAGAGGAGAAGCCCGGAGAUGGGUACUGAGACAAGGACCCAGGCCCUAUGGGGCGCAGCAGGCGAGAAAACUUUGCAAUGUGCGAAAGCACGACAAGGUUAAUCCGAGUGAUUUCUGCUAAAGGAAUCUUUUGCCAGUUCUAAAAAUACUAGUGAAUAAGGGGUGGGCAAGUUCUGGUGUCAGCCGCCGCGGUAAAACCAGCACCUCAAGUGGUCAGGAGGAUUAUUGGGCCUAAAGCAUCCGUAGCCGGCUCUGUAAGUUUUCGGUU